GUCGAGCGGUAACAGAGAGUAGCUUGCUACUCUGCUGACGAGCGGCGGACGGGUGAGUAAUGCCUAGGAAUCUGCCUAAUAGUGGGGGAUAACUUGCCGAAAGGUAAGCUAAUACCGCAUACGUCCUACGGGAGAAAGGAGGGGACUCUUCGGGGCCUUUCGCUAUUAGAUGAGCCUAGGUCGGAUUAGUUAGUUGGUGAGGUAAUGGCUCACCAAGACCGCAAUCCGUAACUGGUCUGAGAGGAUGAUCAGUCACACUGGAACUGAGACACGGUCCAGACUCCUACGGGAGGCAGCAGUGGGGAAUAUUGGACAAUGGGGGAAACCCUGAUCCAGCCAUGCCGCGUGUGUGAAGAAGGUCUUAGGAUUGUAAAGCACUUUAAGUUGGGAGGAAGGGCAGUUAACUAAUAUUUGACUGUUUUGACGUUACCGACAGAAUAAGCACCGGCUAACUUCGUGCCAGCAGCCGCGGUAAUACGAAGGGUGCAAGCGUUAAUCGGAAUUACUGGGCGUAAAGCGCGCGUAGGUGGUUCGUUAAGUUAGGAGUGAAAGCCCCGGGCUCAACCUGGGAAUUGCUUCUAAAACUGGCGAGCUAGAGUAUGGUAGAGGGUGGUGGAAUUUCCUGUGUAGCGGUGAAAUGCGUAGAUAUAGGAAGGAACAUCAGUGGCGAAGGCGACCACCUGGACUAAUACUGACACUGAGGUGCGAAAGCGUGGGGAGCAAACAGGAUUAGAUACCCAGGUAGUCCACGCCGU
rnacentral:rRNA from 1 species